rfam:Corallococcus sp. CAG:1435 genomic scaffold, scf132
UAACCUAUCCGGUAGGUGAGGCUACCACAAGGGAUAUGGGUUGCUGCCGAACAAGCGUGGAGACACGUCAAUUCCGGUAAGCAGGCUUUGUCGAAACCAAGGCACAGCCUAACGCAACUUCACUGCCCUGUGAUGCUAAAACUUGUAAUGGUGAGGACA